AUACGUAGGGGGCAAGCGUUGUCCGGAAUGAUUGGGCGUAAAGGGCGCGUAGGCGGCCCGGUAAGUCUGAAGUGAAAGUCCUGCUUUUAAGGUGGGAAUUGCAUUGGAAACUGGUAGACUUGAGUAUUGGAGAGGCAAGUGGAAUUCCUAGUGUAGCGGUGAAAUGCGUAGAUAUUAGGAGGAACACCAGUGGCGAAGGCGGCUUGCUGGACAAAUACUGACGCUGAGGUGCGAAAGCGGGGGGAGCGAACAGGAUUAGAUACCCUGGUAGUCCACGCCGUAAACGAUGAAUGCUAGGUGUUGGGGAAACUCAGUGCCGCAGUUAACACAAUAAGCAUUCCGCCUGGGGAGUACGACCGCAAGGUUGAGACUCAAAUGAAUUGACGGGG
rnacentral:rRNA from 1 species